AGAGUGGUUACGGACCAACCCCACACUAAAGUCAAACACCCCUCCCGCUGUUAUACGCAUCCAGGGACAGGAAGCUCCACCACGAAAGUGACUUUAACAUCUCUCCCGAACCCACUACAGCUAGGGAACAAACUGGGAUUAGAUACCCCACUAUGCCUAGCCGUAAACCUUGAUAGUAAAAUACACCUGCUAUCCGCCUGGGUACUACGAGCGCCAGCUUAAAACCCAAAGGACUUGGCGGUGCUUCAGACCCACCUAGAGGAGCCUGUUCUAGAACCGAUAACCCCCGUUCAACCUCACCCCUUCUGGCCAGUCCCGCCUAUAUACCACCGUCGUCAGCUUACCCUUUGAAGGACUAACAGUAAGCAAAAAAGGCAUUGCCUCAUACGUCAGGUCGAGGUGUAGCGCAUGAAGCGGAAAGAAAUGGGCUACACUCUCUACUCCAGAGAACACAGAAAGUGUAAUGAAAUACACACCGGAAGGUGGAUUUAGCAGUAAGGAGAAAAAAUGAGAGUUCUCCUGAAGCCGGCUCUGAGGCGCGCACACACCGCCCGUCACUCUCCCCCAGCACCCGGCCUGACCGUUAUUAAACUGAUUAUGUAACAAGGGGAGGCAAGUCGUAA
rnacentral:rRNA from 1 species